CAAGCUGGCAAAAGGAACAGUGUGAGGAGGAAGGAGCAGCAGAGAUAAAGUGUUAUGGAAUGACCACAGUCCCCAUUCCCUAUCCCCUGCACUUCUCAGGGGAAGGAGAAGGGGAGCAAGAGCAGCUUGGUGGGUUCCUGCAGCUAGCCAAAGUUAACCCACCACAGAAAAUACACCCGAGUAGGUGAGCUUUCCUUCAUCAGUGAGAACAUGCAUUUUAAAACAUCAAGAAAUUGGUUACUUUGCCAAAAGGGAGACCUAAUGCAAUGACUUCUGCUCCAGUAACAUCACUUGGAAUUUGACGAAUAUGAAGGACACGUGAAGGUUCAAAAUGGACAAGAUAUCCUUGACUUUACUAAGUUACUUGACUUAAAGUUAACUUAUGCAGCCAUUGGCCAUUAAUACUUCAAGACCACCUAUGCUGGAAGUACCACUAAAGGAAGCAGUUCCUAGCUU